GCCUUCGUGGUGUAGUGGUCAGCACGCUCGACGCGUAACCGAGAGGUCCGUGGUUCGAUUCCCGCCGAAAGCG
rfam:Stegodyphus mimosarum contig100380, whole genome shotgun sequence.